CGUCAAGUCAUCUUACGAAUGGCUUCCCCUCCGCCAGGGGUCGCCGGCGGGCCACCCGCACCCUCCUGGAGCCAAACACCGCCGGUGUGGCUGAAUUGGUGGCCUCCCACCACCGGCAUGACGAAUCGGUGCCCCAUACGCCUCCAAGGGCCGAACCCCGAUGGAUCGGCCGUUACCAAAACCUUUCGUGGCCUCCCACGCUGGCGUGCCGGAUUGGUGCCCCCUGUCCCUCCCGAGGUCAAGACUGACGAAUCGGCCUUCACCAACGUCUCCAGCGCUUCCGCAUGACCCCCGGAGCCAAGAUCGGUGGACCAGCAGUCACCAGAGCCUUUCGCAUGCUCCCGUGUGUUCCCAGGCAUCGAAUCCCGUCGGGCCGAAGCCUCCCGAUGUCUGUGAGCCUCCUGACGUCAAAACGCAUCCAGAUUGGUGUUACCGGCACCGGACUCCAUCGGAUUAACGACACUGGUGUCUCUGGUUCCCCUCCUCGCGCUCGCAUGCAUUCCUGGAAUGGAGCCCCGCCGGGUCGGUGAUUUUUCGAUGUCAAAUCCAUCCGCAUCGAUGGCCCAUGUGUGCCUUCCGGCGCCAAACACCUCCGGGUUGGUGAUUUUCCGGCAUCAAAUCCCUCCAAGUCGGCGGCCUCCGACGUCAAGAACUUUCAGAUUGGUCGUCCCUGGGCCUCCCGCAUUCCGUGCCUCCCGUUGCUGACGACUCCCCGACUCGGACGACUUUUCCCACUGUGUGCGCGGUCUCUUCUUCGCCCAA
rnacentral:lncRNA from 1 species